UUUGUAUCAAUUCCGUUCAUUCACCAACAUUACAUUAGGCAGAGAAAGAAAGAGAGAAACCCUAGCGAAGCCAUUGAAGAUCAUUUCGCAGUGUGGUAGUGCUGAUCAGAACUUCAACGCAUCAUUCGUGACCUUCACGAACGCAUUCAAGGUGCAAACACUUCUGAGUACUUUGUUGCUAUUUGUUUCUGUAGAAGAUCGGAAAAGGUGUGUGGCUGUGUGGUUUAUAAGAAUCUCUCGGCAUUCCCACGAGCCCCUUCUCAGAUUGGAUAGUCAAUUUUGAUUACUGACAUGGAAUUCAGAAAUUUUGACCCAAGACACACUGGGGAGUUAUUGAAGCACAUGGAUAGGCAGAAUGAGGUCCUUAUGGAAGCAUACAGAUCGAUAUUCCAUGAAUUACGGAAACUUCAGGUUGAAGAAGAAAUGCUUAUGCGCAAGAUGCAUGAAAUUGUGUUACCUCAUGGUGUCACCGCAAGGGUAGAUAAAAAAGAACCAGUUGCUCCUGAAGCGAUACUGGCAACUAGAGAUGAGCAGCGAAAUGGAAAGACAAUUUGGGAGGCAGCAGAGACGAUCAAAGAGAAGUUCCCUUCUUUCCAUCUCGAGGACAAGGCAGAAACUAGAGAGGACGGUAUUGAUGGUAACCCAUUACCUAUAGUUCUUGCACAACCUACAAGUGAGAAAACUCUUUUGGUCUACACUAGGAGGUCCAAGGCCUAUGUGCCUGAGACUAGCACAAGCUUCCGGUAAUCACUAUUUGGGGAAGCGAGGAGUUAGUUAUAGAAAGGGAAAAGAAGAUAGAAUUUUUUAUACAGGGAGGGAGAAAACGUGGAGCUUGGCCCUUAUUUUUUUGUAAUUCCUUCGACUUCUGUUUACAGUAAUACACUUCUACUUCAGAUAGGAAUGGUUCUAUCAUUGGCCUUAGAUGGAAGGAAGCAGAGAUACUGUAAUAAGUUGUCUACAAAGGAAGUUGGGAAAAAAAGCAGAUAGCUCUGUUUUGAAUUCUAAGAUGAGACUGAGGAGUUCUCUCAAUGUUAGGGAAGCCCUCUAUGUGGACGAGGAAUAAAUGUUAAAUAAGCAGUUAAGAACAGAAUAAUCGUUAUUCUAAUGCUUGUAAUGGUGGAACUUAACCCAUCCCAAUUUGAAGCUAAAGAGGAACGGUGAAGAAGACAUCAAGUAUAUAAAAUCAACCAACUCUUUUUGUUCAGCAAAAUUCUCCUCGUAUAGAUUUUAAUUUUCAAUUGUAAUAACCCAAUAACCAGAAAAUAAAUAAAUAAAAUGGUGCUUCCACAGUACAAAAUACUCAAUUUCAAGUUCAAUAUUCACUCACUAAUGUGAGAAAGUUGAGUAAUAUGAAACAACCCCAUCAUUGCAAGAUAUUUUUCAGAUAGAUAAUGUAUCUUCUUAGAUACAAGAGAAAAUACUAUGAUUCCAAGACUUUCCGAUUCUGAAAACCUUUGAUAAUUUUGUCACCGGAGCUCCCAAUUAUAAUUAAUUUCGCACAAAUUACAGUACUAAGUUCCCAUAAUCAUGCCCGAAAAUCUCGAGUAAUUUCCUCACCUGUGAUCAAUGAAGUUUUUAAAAGGUUUAUAACUUAUUUCAAUUGCAACUUCCAAGUUUUAGGGUCAACUGUAACCCUAAUUAUGGUUGUAUUUAUUCACAAUUUCUCACAAUAUCAUGAACAUCACCAAAUUGCAUACCAAUUAAGGUUUUCAAAUAUGGUUUGCAACUGUUUAUUAUUAGGUAGUUAAUUGGUAAACUAUGAAGUCAAGAUUCAAAAGAUGUCCACAAAAUACUUUAUGAAAAUUUGAUGUCAACAAACAAACGCAUACCAAAAAGAUCACAAAACUCGUGAGCUAAUUUCUGAAUGCAUAAUUGCACACACGACCACAGAAUUCAGCAUAACAAAUGAAAAACAGACACAGUAGAACGUAAUUAAGUAAGUUCAAAUUCAACAUGUAUAAAGAAGUCCCAUUUUUCAUUAAUCAUAGUAAACCAAAUUGCAGCCGAAAAGAGUGACCAAAUUAGAAUAUGCUGAACUUGUGUGCAUCUUAGAGAGAACCUAUACAUGAUGACAGUACAAUACAAGUACAAA